rnacentral:lncRNA from 13 species
CCAGUAAAUCACACUCUUCUUAGGGCUAUUAACAACAUUAGGGCAAAGAGCAACUUGCAACGACUUGCAACCGGCCCGGUAAGCCAUAAAGGAAGCGAGCGAGAAAGAGAGAGAGAGAGAGAGAGAGAGGCGACCGGGGAGCAGCUGUCGUAAGACGACUGAGAGGACGACGACGAGAAGAUCCUUCUUAACGAGGCGGAAAGAUUAAUAAAAGAUUCUAUUGGAAAAUCGAAAGUACAGGAAAGUUAAGGAGGAUAAAGAGGAUUGUUUAAUAGUAGGCGAUUUAAUCCACAUCAUACAUCAUGGAACUGCAAAUACAUUGAUAGUAAUAAAGAGUACUUAUUGAGUGCAAUGUUUAAUAAAAGGAUUCAUCAAUAACGAGUAAGGGGAUGAUGCAUGGAAAUCAGACCAUUUUCCUAUUUUGUUAUCUUUGAGUAAUGAAACUCAUUUAUACAAAAAACGAUCCAAUAGAAUUACUAACAAAAAGACAGCUUGGUUACAAUAUGCAGCUUUAAUGGAUAAAUCUUUUUGGGAUCAGAAUCCUGGAGUGAUGGAGUAUUUGUAUGAUAUGGAACAAGCAUACCAAGAUCAUCACGAGGGAUCAGUUCGCAGCAGUCGCAGAGGUCAAGCAUCAUUUGCCGCGGUUACGACUUGGAUGGAUGACCGCUUGGAAAUUUCUAAAGAAAAAUUCCUUUCUCGGGAUUUUUUUCGUUGCAAAAAAUGUUUUUAAAAUGUUACAAAAAUAUUGUUUUGUUUAUUAGGAUUAUGUAAUGAUAUAAUACCUAUUUUCAUCAGGCAUAGAUCGGAUUUAAUCGGACUUGAAUCUUUCUGCUGACUUUGGAUUAUGAUGGAUUUAAUCGGAUGCGAUUCCUUAUUCAUAGAUUUACUCGGUAUAAAACUGACUCUUUUGAGUACAGAUUUCGGACUAAAAUAGAUUCAAGCAGAAAUUUUCCUAUCCAAUACUUUCACCAGGAUUGAUAUUAAUACAUUUAUUGUUUACAAAUGGUUCGAAAUCUCCACAAGCUCAAUCAUUAGGUGCGGAUAUAGUUAUUGAAGAACAGAACGAGGGUUAUUGUUUAAGUCUACCUAAACAAAGUUCUAUAUUUACUGCAGAGUCAAUAGCAAUCUCUUUUGUUUAAAAAUUGUCGAGAAUAAAAUAGAUACUUUUGAUAGAUA